GAUGAACGCUGGCGGCGUGCCUAAUACAUGCAAGUCGAGCGAACGGACGAGAAGCUUGCUUCUCUGAUGUUAGCGGCGGACGGGUGAGUAACACGUGGAUAACCUACCUAUAAGACUGGGAUAACUUCGGGAAACCGGAGCUAAUACCGGAUAAUAUUUUGAACCGCAUGGUUCGAAAGUGAAAGACGGUCUUGCUGUCACUUAUAGAUGGAUCCGCGCUGCAUUAGCUAGUUGGUAAGGUAACGGCUUACCAAGGCAACGAUGCAUGGCCGACCUGAGAGGGUGAUCGGCCACACUGGAACUGAGACACGGUCCAGACUCCUACGGGAGGCAGCAGUAGGGAAUCUUCCGCAAUGGGCGAAAGCCUGACGGAGCAACGCCGCGUGAGUGAUGAAGGUCUUCGGAUCGUAAAACUCUGUUAUUAGGGAAGAACAUAUGUGUAAGUAACUGUGCACAUCUUGACGGUACCUAAUCAGAAAGCCACGGCUAACUACGUG
rnacentral:rRNA from 1 species